rnacentral:rRNA from 1 species
GGAGGAAAAGAAACUAACACGGAUUCCCUCAGUAAGGGCGACUGAAAUGGGAAAAGCCCAGCGCAUAAGCUCGCUUUGCCCUUCACCGGGCGCGAGCGGUGUUGCGUUUCGGAGGGUCCGGCACGCCGCCUUACGACGCCUAAGUCAUGCUUGAAAGCGGCCACUACCCAUUGAGGGUGAAAGGCCCGUCUGGCGGAGCCCGUGAGGGCAUAAGUGAGGCGGUCGGAAAGGACCUUUCCGUAGAGUCGGGUUGCUUGAAAGUGCAGCCCAAAGCAGGUGGUAAACUCCUUCU